GCUUGUCUCAAAGAUUAAGCCAUGCAUGUCUAAGUAUAAGCAACUUUGUACUGUGAAACUGCGAAUGGCUCAUUAAAUCAGUUAUAGUUUAUUUGAUGGUUUUUGCUACAUGGAUAACUGUGGUAAUUCUAGAGCUAAUACAUGCAUUCAAGCCCCGACUUCUGGAAGGGGUGUAUUUAUUAGAUAAAAAUCAACUUUGUUGGUGAAUCAUAAUAACUUCUCGGACCGCAUGGCCUCGUGCUGGCGGUGCUUCAUUCAAAUAUCUGCCCUAUCAACUGUCGAUGGUAGGAUAGAGGCCUACCAUGGUUGCAACGGGUAACGGGGAAUAAGGGUUCGAUUCCGGAGAGGGAGCCUGAGAAACGGCUACCACAUCCAAGGAAGGCAGCAGGC
rnacentral:rRNA from 1 species